CGGAGCCACUCCACGGGAGCCGCCCCACGAGAGCCUUCCCACGGGAGCUGCCACUCUGGAGCCACCAUGAAGUGUGGACUUGGAAGCUUAACACUCGGUUGCUGGGCAACAAGAAAACGGACACACUGGAUUCAUCAAAAUGGAAACCUUCUGGCAUCAAAGGACAUUUUCACGGGAGUACAAGGUGAAGACAGCCUACAGAUGGGAGAGAACACCCGUAAGUCGUGUUUCUGAUGCGGGGUUAACACCCAGCAUGUGUGGAGACAGAACUCGCUCAGCGCAACCAGAGAGAGACACACGGCUCUCCCAAAAGAUGGGAAAGGACUUGAACUGACGUCUCCCCAGAGAAGGUGCACGAGUGGCCAACAACCUCAGAAACGAUGCUGGACUCCACUAGGCAUCGGGGACAUUCACAUAAAAACCAGAGGAGACCCCGCCUCACACCCACGAGGGGGCUGUGAUUUCACAAAACAGAAAAUAACAGACGGGCGAGGGUGGGGAGGACACAGAGCUCUCGUGCGCUGGUGGGAAGUCAGCCCGGCGGCCCCCGGGACACGCCCAGCACCGCUGAGCACACGCUUGUGCCCCAGCGCUCGCAGCAGCUGGAAGGCGGAACCAGCCACGUGUCUGUGGACGGGGGCUGAACACAACCUGGUGUGUCCACACAACAGGACACUGCUCAUCUGUCCCACGUGGAUGGACCCUGCACACAUGGCACUAAGGGAAGGAGGCCAGACACGAAGCCACUUCUGCGUGGUGCUCGGGACACAUCCACGCAGACAGAAGGUAGACUCGGGGUGGGGGGUGAGGGAUGGGACCCUCCCCUCCCGUGUUUACUGGAAACAGGGCUUCCGUGGGGCAUCAUGGGAAGUGCUGGGGACAGGCGGAGGGGACGGCCGUGCACACGUUUCAUUCUAUCGUGUAGAAGCUGAGUGACGUGAGCUUCGCAUUAAGCACCCCGGGCCUCAGUUUCCCCAUGUCCACAGCCACGAUGACAUCCUCCCUCCACAGAGAAAGUGGCAGAGAGAACGCCCACUCUCUCAAGUCUCCUUGAAAAGAUCAUGUACAAGGAGCGCCUGGCUGCCUCAGUCGGGGGGAGCAUGUGACUUUGAUCUUGCGGUUGUGAGUUGAAGCCCCACGUUGGGUAUAGAGAUUACUUUGAAAAAAAGGACAUGCACAUCAGCAAAGCUUCCAGAAACCGCUAACUGCAGGGAGCAUUCGUUAAUGGACAGCCAGAUGCUUGUGUGGGUGACGACCCACAGAUGGAACCAGGCUUCCCAAUGCCAGGAACCCAGGUCCGGUGUUGUUAUGGCCAUUGGAAUGGCACCUACAGUUACGUAACCUCUCUAAGGAAAGGGCCGUCACCAUGGCGCAGCCAUAAUCAAGAAGAGGGAGUCUAAUGGGACAGAAAGUUCUUAGGAAACAGUAACUCUGUGACGCUGGCACCCUCCGCCAUGGGCUUGGGAGCACGAGCCGUGCAGCACUGUGUGUUACAUAGUUGUCCGUCCCUAGUCCCGAAUAUCUCAUUCACCCCAGGUCCCGACAUUAGCGGAGAUCUGUGCUCCAGCAAGAGGCCCGUGGACAUGGCUGAUGCUGGACCCAGGUCUUCCAAAUGGAGUCGACAGGGAGGCUACCGCUUCCCUGGAGGAGGAGCUGACGACCACGGGGUCAGACUGAGGCCAGCGGACGAGAAGCCGGGGUGGCUUCAUGGGGGUCAGGCUGGGACCGGUCUUAAGCCUGGAGACAGCGGGACCGUGGCUGGCACACCCUACUUGUCCCAUGUGGGGGAGCGAGCGUUUCGCGGAUCGUGGAGGUGCCCUGGUGGCUGUGGGCCAGCUGGCUGCGCUCCACGGGCAGGUUCGCCAUAGCCUUUCUUCUGGAAAUGGGAGUGCGAUGAUGUCCCAGCUGGAAGGAUGGCAGGUGAGCUGGAGAGUCCCGUGCUCCUCACUGAGCUGCCGCAGCCACAGGCUGGGGCGCCAGGAGCCUUCCAGGAGCAGGUGUCCAACACUGUGCUGGGGGUCCUGCAAUGACCCCAGACCUACCGACCUCACGGAGCCCCCCCACAGCUGGGCUCGCAGGGGCAGAGUGCCAGCGGCACAUGACCGCCGUCUCUGCCCUGGUGACGUCCUCUCCACAGCACUGGGCCUGAGGGAUGGGGCACGGCUCCCUGCACCGCUCAGAGAUUCGGUUCAACUGCAUCUUCCGUCAGUGUGAACACUAGCUCUGGACACGUGGCCCCCAACGGGCUCAAAACCAAGACAAGGACGUCACCUGGGCCCCUGAAGGCUACUUCAUUUUUUUUUUUUUUUUGCUCUUUGAAAUUUAAAGAAAAAAUUUAUUGAAGAUCUGAAAAACAAUUCCUAAAAGAUUGCCUUUUCCAGAAAACUGUAGCUGCACAACGCAUUGCGUCUAUCAUUCGGAAGAGAACACGUC